CCGCCACCGAAGAAGGUGCCAGAAUCCUUUCCUGGGGAGGGGAUUUUGGAAGGAGGCAGAGGGAGGAGAGGAGCAGAGUUUUGAGCAGGAGGGGAAGGAGCUGCGUGAGGCUGGAGCAUCCCAUCCCUGCAUCCCAUCCCUGCAUCCCUGCGAGGGCUCAGGAGCCGAAGGAAGCUUCGGGAGCCUCCUGACACAGAGCGAUCAGCAGAUAUCGGCAGCGAUCAGGAGCGAUCGGCAGAGACCAUCAGUGAUCAGGAGCGAUCGGCAGAGACCAUCAGUGAUCAGCAGAGAUCAG